AGGGUUUGAUUAUGGCUCAGGAUGAACGCUGGCGGCGUGCUUAACACAUGCAAGUCGAACGGGAAACCUAUUAUUGAAACUUCGGUCGAUUUAAUUUGUUUCUAGUGGCGGACGGGUGAGUAACGCGUGGGUAACCUGCCCUAUACAGGGGGAUAACAACCAGAAAUGGUUGCUAAUACCGCAUAAGCGCACGGGACCGCAUGGUCCAGUGUGAAAAACUCCGGUGGUAUAGGAUGGACCCGCGUUGGAUUAGCUAGUUGGUGGGGUAACGGCCCACCAAGGCGACGAUCCAUAGCCGGCCUGAGAGGGUGAACGGCCACAUUGGGACUGAGACACGGCCCAG
rnacentral:rRNA from 1 species